UGGGGAAUUUUGGACAAUGGGCGAAAGCCUGAUCCAGCAAUGCCGCGUGUGUGAAGAAGGCCUUCGGGUUGUAAAGCACUUUUGUCCGGAAAGAAAUCCUUGGCUCUAAUACAGUCGGGGGAUGACGGUACCGGAAGAAUAAGCACCGGCUAACUACGUGCCAGCAGCCGCGGUAAUACGUAGGGUGCAAGCGUUAAUCGGAAUUACUGGGCGUAAAGCGUGCGCAGGCGGUUUGCUAAGACCGAUGUGAAAUCCCCGGGCUCAACCUGGGAACUGCAUUGGUGACUGGCAGGCUAGAGUAUGGCAGAGGGGGGUAGAACUCCACGUGUAGCAGUGAAAUGCGUAGAGAUGUGGAGGAAUACCGAUGGCGAAGGCAGCCCCCUGGGCCAAUACUGACGCUCAUGCACGAAAGCGUGGGGAGCAAACAGGAUUAGAUACCCUGGUAGUCCACGCCCUAAACGAUGUCAACUAGUUGUUGGGGAUUCAUCUCCUUAGUAACGUAGCUAACGCGUGAAGUUGACCGCCUGGGGAGUACGGUCGCAAGAUUAAACUCAAAUGAAUUGACGGGGUCAUAGCUGUUUCCU
rnacentral:rRNA from 1 species